rnacentral:rRNA from 1 species
UACGUAGGUGGCAAGCGUUGUCCGGAAUUAUUGGGCGUAAAGAGCUUGUAGGCGGUUUGUCGCGUCUGCUGUGAAAAUCCGGGGCUCAACCCCGGACUUGCAGUGGGUACGGGCAGACUAGAGUGUGGUAGGGGAGACUGGAAUUCCUGGUGUAGCGGUGAAAUGCGCAGAUAUCAGGAGGAACACCGAUGGCGAAGGCAGGUCUCUGGGCCGAUACUGACGCUGGAGGAGCGAAAGCGUGGGGAGCGAACAGG